rnacentral:lncRNA from 12 species
AUGGGGCCAGAGCAGCAUCACAAAGGAGUGGGGAGCCUCUGCAACCGAGGGGUGGCUGCUGGAGGACCCCAGGCAGGGGAGAGGCCCAAACCGAAGUGGCGCAGCGCUGCACUGGAAGGGUCAGACCAACAAGGAAGGGGUCACAGGAUCGAGAACACCCUGGGAAGAAUUUGGAGAGAGGUCCAUGAUGAUCUAGGAAUAAGAAGCAGUGGGAGGUCUUGGAAGGUCUUCCAAGAGAAUGGAAGUUGUGCUCCUUGGAGAAUGAUAGGAAACACUGCUGGAAUUUUGAGAAUAGGCAAUGUUAAAUUAGCAUGGAGAUUCUUUGUGGGUAUGAGCUUUCUCUUCAAACAUUCCAUUAUAAUCCAAGACCCCAUAAUUUUUGCCAAAAAGUGGGUGCCUCCAAACAGUGUUCUGCCUCCCGGGAACCAGUGGCUCUGGCCCCAUCAGGGGUGCUCAGACUUGGCUACCUGCUGAGAUCACCUUGUGGAGCUUUAAACGUGUACAUGCCAGGGGUCCACUCUUUAAGAACCUGAUUUGGGUUGUAGCUGAGGCACGGUUAAUGUUGAGUUCUCCAUGUGAUUCUAAUGUUCAGCCCAAGUUGAGAACCACUGCUUAGAGCUUUAAAUUCCUUUUGUGUCUGAAAAUUUGAAAAGGAAAGCAGUGGCACCCAGUGGCGCUCAUACUUUAACGUGCAAACAAACAAAUCACCUGGAGAUCUUCUAAAAUGUAGCCUCUAUUUCAGGAGGUCUGGGGUGGGCUGGGCGUCUGCCCUUGUAACAAGCUGCCAGGGGGAUGCCCACACUGCUGUCCCCAGCCUGCAUUUGUGCCGUGAGUCUGUAGCUUGAAUGAAUACAGACUUGCUUGGGAAACUAUGGCUCUGCAAGCCAGCUGGGAUCCUAAGAAGUCACUUCACUUUUUGAACCUCAGCCUUCCGAUCUUAAAUGCAGGCAUGCAAUAGUAACUACAUCAUAGAGUUCUUGUGAUGCUUUAAUAACAUAAUGUGGUAAACGUGGUUAGCAUGAUACAACACGCGUUAGCCUUUGGAUUAUUAGGAUAGCCAACACUCAGGGGAACGCUUAACGGUCUGCCAGGAAUUCUCAAAGUACUCUCCUGUCUUGUAUCGUUCAAGCCUCAAAACAACAGUCUGAGGUGGGUACUGUGAUUUCAUCACCCCUCUUUUACGGAUGAAGAAACUGAGGCACAGAGAGGUGGAGUACCUUAAUUUACAUCACACACUUAGGAGUUGCUAGGCUGGUGGUUGGAACCCAGGGAGAAUCUAGGCUCUUCUCCCUCCGGGGGCUGAAAUGGACACUGCGAACAGGCAUUUCUGCCCUGCAGGCCUGACUUUCUGGAGGCGAUGAUUUGAGGAGUCGCCUCUGUAAUGGGCUCGGUCAACAGGUGGCAGCCCAGGGCCAUUUGCAGACCUCGUCCAGAGCCGGCGCCAGGCUGGGAACUUCAUCGCUCAGCGCCCCUA